CUAACAAAUACUAGUACAGUAAGAAGCCAAUGGAAUCAACAAAUUUCUUCCGUUUCCUCCUCAUCUUCUUAAGUGGAGCUCUUCUUUUACUGUUCACCUGGAUUCAUCUCCCAUACGCUUCACCAUCAAGCAACACUGACUUCCUCGACUGUGCCACCAACUCCCCUUGGUGCACCUCCAGAAACCGCUUCCUAUUCAAGAAACCAGCCACCGUCAAUAUCCUCAAGAAACCCCCAAGACUCACGCGCCACCAUCAUGAGUCAGACGUUCCCCACCACCCGCUUGAUCCCUUAACCAUUCGAGAACUUAACAAAGUCCGUAAAAUCCUAUCAUCUCACCAGCUCUUCAAGUCAUCUCCCUUUGCUCUACACUCCGUAGUAUUGGAAGAGCCCGACAAGUCACUUGUUCUCAAAUGGCAAAAGGGAGACCCCAUGUUACCCAGAAAUGCUGCCGUCGUCGCACGUGUGAACGGUCAAUCGCACGUGCUAACGGUGGAUAUGGAUACCGGCGAGGUAAACGUACAAGAAGCCAAUCCGCUCUCCGGUUACCCGACGAUGACGAUGGAGGACAUGACUUCAGCGACAUGGGCCCCACUAUCGAACGCUGAUUUCAACCGUACGAUCAUCGAGCGUGGAGUUGAUCUGAAGGACCUGGCUUGCCUACCUAUCUCUUUAGGUUGGUAUGGUACGAAAGAAGAGAACAGGAGACUAAUUAAGGUACAGUGCUACUCUAUGGAGGGCACUGCAAACUUCUACAUGAGGCCAAUAGAAGGGUUGACUGUGCUUCUUGAUAUGGAUACUAAACGAGUAGUGGAGAUAACAGAUAAAGGUAAGACCAUACCCAUACCGAAGGCCGCCAACACAGAUUAUCGCUAUUCCUCUCAGGGGGUCAAUCAAGAGAAGAAACUAAUCAAUCCAAUUUCCAUAGAGCAACCAAAAGGGCCAAGCUUUACUGUGGAAGAUGACCACAUGGUUAAAUGGGCAAACUGGGAAUUUCACCUCAAGCCCGACCCGAGAGCUGGGGUGAUCAUUUCUCGAGCUAGAGUCCAGGACCCGGAUACUGGAGAGAUGAGAAAUGUGAUGUACAAAGGUUUUACUUCAGAGUUAUUUGUACCUUACAUGGACCCUACAGAUGCAUGGUACUUUAAGACUUAUAUGGAUGCGGGUGAAUACGGGUUCGGUUUGCAGGCCAUGCCGCUUGACCCACUUAAUGAUUGUCCUCGAAAUGCGUAUUAUAUGGACGGAGUAUUCGCCGCCGGUGAUGGAUCUCCAUACGUCCGAUCAAACAUGAUUUGCGUGUUUGAGAGAUAUACUGGAGAUAUCGGGUGGCGGCACGCUGAGAGUCCGAUUACGGGUAUGGAGAUUAGAGAAGUAAGGCCAAAGGUGACGCUUGUGGUUAGAAUGGCAGCAUCAGUGGCGAACUAUGAUUAUAUAGUUGAUUGGGAGUUCCAGACAGAUGGGCUAAUCAGAAUUAAGGUUGGACUUAGUGGGAUUUUGAUGGUGAAAGGCACCUCAUACGUGAACAUGAACCAAGUGCCAGGCCAAGAAAAUCUCUACGGCACACUAUUAUCAGAAAACGUCAUCGGUGUAAUCCAUGACCAUUUCAUCACAUUUUACCUUGACAUGGACAUCGACGGAUCUGAUAAUUCCUUCGUAAAGGUAAACAUCCAAAGGAAACGGACCUCUCCCGGAGAAUCCCCAAGAAGAAGUUACUUGAAAGCUACAAGAAACGUGGCAAAGACAGAGAAAGAUGCACAAAUUCAGCUCAAACUUUAUGACCCAUCGGAGUUCCAUGUGAUUAACCCGAACAAAAACACACGGGUGGGCAACCCUGUUGGGUAUAAGGUGGUUCCUGGUGGCACGGCUGCUAGUUUGCUUGAUCAUGAUGAUCCACCACAGAAACGUGGAGCAUUUACAAAUAACCAAAUAUGGGUCACUCCAUAUAACCGGACCGAGGAGUGGGCAGGUGGGUUAUUUGUUUACCAGAGUCAUGGUGAAGACACUCUCGCAGUAUGGUCCGACAGGGAUCGUCCAAUUGAGAACAAGGACAUUGUGGUGUGGUACACGUUAGGUUUUCAUCACAUACCAUGUCAGGAGGAUUUUCCCAUAAUGCCAACAGUAUCUUCCAGCUUUGAUCUGAAGCCUGUCAAUUUCUACGAGAGCAACCCUAUUCUUGGUCUCCCACCUAAUGUUGAGAAGGACUUGCCUGUUUGCAAGCCUUCAGAUACUGCAUGAAUGGCAAAUAUGUCUUUUAGUUUUUGACUACAUUUAGCCUAUAUUGGGACAAAAAUAAAAAAA
rnacentral:misc_RNA from 1 species